UGUCAUUCUUUCUAUUUUCCUUCUCUCAAAUGUUUUCAUUUAUCUUUUAGAUUAUUUUAUGUGCUGACUUUUGGGUCUUUGAUUUUCUCUUGCUACUUUUUUAUUUAAUUUAUGUUUUUCCACUGCUUUCUCAACCAUGGAUGUGUUUCGAUGUUAUUUAAAAUACAAUUUUAGGGUCUGAUUUCUCUAACUUGCAUGUGUUAGCUAGGGUUUUAAAUAAAUAAAUAGUACUAGAAGUUAAGACUUCCCCUCUAAUUUUAUGUUGUGUUUCAUAGUGCAGAUUUUGCUAUUAUUGAGCAGAGUAGUAAUUUGUUGUUGUGAUACUGUGCUGGAGUGAACGUCGUGGUGAGUCUUAAUCUUUUAUUGCCACAAAAUUUUAGCUAGAAAUCAGUUAGCUUUUCUCUUGAUAUCAACUGAGAAAUCAGUUGGUCUAUGUUGCUUUAGAUUCGAUUCUGUGUAGAUUGUUAGAAAUAGAUUCAAUCUCAAGUAUCCUUUCUAAUCCCUUGACAUGUAAAUUAAAAGCAUAGUUGUCUAGAUUUUAAUUGUACUCUACCCAGAAAAGCUGAACAGAUGGAUAUAGUAAAGUUGAAAGUUGUAGCAGAUAAGUUCUUUGCUAAAAGAAGUUCAUUUUUAUUUUGGUCCAUAGAUUGCAUAGGCAUUAAUUGAUGGUGCAGUCAUAGUAAUCUUUCACAUAUUCUCUGUUUGGGGGAUGUUCGAUGGAAAGUAGGAAGAAUCCUUUGAACUAGGGAGAGCUUAAAUCUGGAGGUACUCCUAUGUUACCGAACAAGCUAACUGUGAAUAGUUUAAUAGUGAAAAUUCGAAUUUAGUGUUCCCUGUUGGAGGUCUUUGAUUGAAUGGGAAUAUAAUGUGCUUUGAUUUCCAACGAUCAGUAAGAAAAUAGUUGCUAAGCUUAUUUAGACCUCCUAAACUUGGGCUAGAGUUUCAUAGACGUUCUUACCAUAUUCAUGUUAGUGCCAGUUCUAAAGAAGGACAGACUACUAACCUUCUUUGAUUUGUGCAAAUAAGAAAAAGAAGUAAGAAAGUAAGUGGGAGGUGGGUUUAGUAUAUGCAAGAAGGGAAAUUGAUUGUGCAGAAAUGGAGGUUUGGUAGUUGGCCUAAUGGUAUACAGUCCAUGGUAUGGUUUUUUGACCUUUGCUUUUCUAUUUGAGUUUAUGUGUUUGUCAAGAAUGUUAUUUUAAUGUUAAGUAAGGCAAAUCGUUUAGUGUUGGAAUGAAAUAUAUCUGAAUAGAGUGGAACGGAAGCUGAAGAAUGGUAUUAUCGACCUCAACUGAUUUGGGAUUUGAGUUAGUCCAGUGAAGCCCAUGCUGAGUCCGGGCCCAAGAUCAAGGUAAUAAUGCACUUCAUAGGUUUUAACUGAAAAAAUAAUAAUUAGUGUAUGUUUCUUAGGCACAACUCUUUUAAGAUGAUAGCAUUUAAUUUCAAUCCACUUGGGCUUCCUUUUUACCAGACAGCAUGUUCCGGUCAUCGUCCAGGCUAAUAUUUUGCUCUGCCUCUGUAACACAAAAAGGCAAGAGAUAAUGAAUGCUUCUGUUUUAAGAAUGGCCUUGUAGAAUUUUGCCUUAUCAGGAAAAAAAUAAAAAAAUAAUGAUCUUGAAGAUGUUUAUCUUCACUUAUAUAUUACUAGACUAGAUGUUGUAUUUAGGCAACUACAUACAUGUUUUACUUUUAGACAACUUAUAGGCGUUAUGUUUCCCUGAAUCAAGCUCUAUGAAAGUCAAAUAAACGAAGCUGUGUGAGUUGAAUCUGCAAAUUGGUCUAACCUAUAGUUUUAUCCCUGUCACUUCUAUUGGCUCAAAUGAUAAGUCAAUAGUAACAAAAGGUCCACAACUCUUGAACAUUUCCCUUGUUUGAUUAAGGGAGCAAUAAGAUGGCAUAUCCACUUAAACUUAUUUAUUAUAGGAUAAAGUUCAACUAUAUGAAGCACAUAUAUGGACAGUCCCUUUGAGCUUCCUCUGCCUUUUGACCUACAAAAUACAAAAACUAAAUCUAAAUAGUUAAUGAAAAAACUGAUUUCUUUCAGGAAACUUAUCAAACACAUAUGACACAAAUAGUAUAACCUAAGGAGUUAACAAUAUACAAUUUUAUGAGCUCAUAUGGGAGAAUAUUCAAACAUUGUAUUGUCUUCUUUUAUGGAAGAUUUGAUUGGUUGAGAUGUUGAAUAGGUCAUAGCUGUUUAGACACUUUCUUUACUGAAUCUCUUUGCCAUCGCUAUGUCUUCCAUAUUAAACCAGACCACAACUUUCCUUUUUAAUUUUCUUUCAAUUUUUUCCUGUAACAUCUUCAGCAAUAUUAAUUUAGUGCACAAGUAAGAGUGAAUUGAUGACUGAAAUGAAUUCUGAGGAUGUCGUGAAAUUCUGUUUCUAAAUCUGUUGUACCUAAGUUCGCAGACAUGCACACCUAAUAACAAUUUCUUGUCGUAGAAAGAAAUUGACUGGUGUUAUGAUUGGGGUUAUAACGUGUAUUUCGUGAAUUUGUAUUUUAUUUAAUCCAUUAUAUUAUAUAAAAUCACCUACUUUUUUCAUCCGUUUAAUAGGCAUAUAAUGGUCCUACAAUUUUGAUUGCGCAAUGUUUGGAAAGUAAAGUUGCUUCAGGGGCACAAAGGAACACUGUUGCGACUUAAAGCGGAUGGAGCUGCUCCUCUCUUAAUUAGGGAUUAGGGGUUCGAACAUGGAUAUGGAAAAAAUCUUUGGAGGAAGCGCUCCCCCCGAAUAGGCGCGAUACAGUGCGAAUUAUCUGGAUUAAUUGGGCUCAAAUGCAGAUAUCGAGCACCAACCAGAAAACCAAAGAACAUGAAAAAUGAGGUAGGAGGUUCGAUAGCUUUUGACAAGUAGACCUUAAAAACAAAAAAAUUGACUUAAAUAAAUAAGAUUAGGACCUAAAAGUAAUUAAUUAAAUAGUUUUAAAAAAAUUUGAAAAUUAUUGUGAGGACUACAAAAGUCCCCAGGUUCGAUAGCUUUUAAAAAGUAGACCUUAAAAAUAAAAAACAAAAAAAAUGACUUAAAUAAAUAAGAUUAGGACCUAAAAGUAAUUAAUUAAAAAGUUUUUAAAAAUUGGAAAAUUAUUGUGAGGACUACAAAAGUCCUCACAUUUGCUCUUAUAUAAUAUAGUAAUAUAAGUGGUUAAGGAGGAUCAACACAACAAUGCCUAUUUGUACCCAAAGCUUUACAAAUUGUACACGCAAUGAAUACUUGUACCAAAAGCUAUAUAACUUGUAUAUUUUAACCAACUUCUUUUUUAUUUCACAUGGACAUAUGUCAUAGUACUUAAUAUUUAUUCUAUUCACAUGUAUAGAUGUUGCACUUCAAUUUUAAUUCUCCGACCCAUUUAUUUCUUCCGUGCACUUUUACUUGUUUACUUUUGACUUUUCACGUUCUUGCUGAAUAUUUAUUCUCUUCUCAUGUAUAGAUGUAUGCAGUUCAAUUUUAAUUCUCCUACACAAAUUUAUUUUCUCCGUGCACUUUUACUUAUUCACUUUUGACUUUUCACGUCCUUUAAGAAUUAAUAAAUCCCACAUGGACAUAUGUCAUAGUACUGAAUAUUUAUUCUCUUCUCAUGUAUAGACGUAUGCAGUUCAAUUUUAAUUCUCCGACACAUAUUUAUUUCCUCCGUGCACUUUUACUUGUUCACUUUUGACUUUUCAAGCUCUUUAAGAAUAUUUACAUAAGUUAUACUCCCUCUGUUUCAAUUUGUUUGAACCUAUUUCCUUUUUAGUCCGUGCCAAAAUGAAUGACCUCUUUCUUAAUUUGGAAACAAAUUCACUUUAUGAAUGAUUUAUAACCACACAAAUUUCAAGGCUUAUUUUGAACCACAAGUUUCAAAAGUCUUCCCUCUUUUUUAAAUGUCGUGCCCAGUCAAAUAGGUUCAUAUAAAUUGAAACGGAGGGAGUAGUAGUUAAUAUUUAUUCCCUUCUCAUGUAUAGACGUAUGCACUUCAAUUUUAAUUCUCCUACACAUUUAUUUCCUCUGUGCACUUUUACUUGUUCACUUUUGACUUUUCACGUUCUUGCUGAAUAUUUCUUCUCUUCUCAUGUAUAGAUGUAUGCAGUUCAAUUUUAAUUCUCCUACACAAAUGUAUUCCUCCGUGUACUUUUACUUGUUCACUUUUGACUUUUCUCGUUCUUUAAGAAUUAAUAAAUUUCACAUGGACAUAUGUCAUAGUACUAAAUAUUUAUUAUCUUCUCAUGUCUA